CUUCAAUCUAUUUUAUUUUAUUGUGCAGCAAUAAUAUGUGAAGCACUUUGAGUCUGCCUCAUGGAUGAAAAUAACUUGUAGCCUUGACUUGGAAAGGCCUAAAAGACCCAUUAAGGGUCUGAAUGAGGACAUUUACGAAAGCUUUGUAAAUUCUCCUCGGUUUCUGGGUAGUGUCAUAUUCUACAUUAUGGCAGGGCAAUUCAGCUUUGAAUAGUUUGUAUUGAUAUAGGCUUAUUGUGUGUAUUCAACUCAAAUAUCAACCAUUUAAGUUAACACACACCCACAGACACACACACACACACUUUGCCUCACUUAGAUCAGGUAACCUCCCACCGUGUAUUUAACAGAGAGCAGACAGAGCCGAGGGCACUCACCCCCAGCCACGCUUGCUGCACCUGCAUUUGUGUGCACCAUAUUAAUUUGGGUCCACCAGCUUAAUUUGUUUGGGUUGGACAUUGGAAGCAGUUCCUGAGCGUCAGCAGCAGAGAGCUGUAUGUGAGUUGAAGCCUUCGAGCAUGGCUUCCACAGUCAGGUCCCUGCUCCUCCUGCUCGUCCUCGUCCACGCAGCCUUCGCUGCUCUACCUGAGACGAAGCCCAGCUACCCAUCCGUUCCGAACCCACCUGCUACCACGGACAUGCCCGGAGACCAACCCACUUCCUCUAAUCAUCAAAAGCGUUUAAAUAGCAUGGCCAGAAAACUGGUAGGUUCAGCGUCAGGGUGGUACGUUAGGACGACUAGGACUUCACUGUUUAAUUUGUAUUGCAUUGAAAAUAACCAUAUUAUAUCACAGAGGGAUGCAUCCGCUACACACCUCCCUAAUAUCUAGUCAGGAAAAUGUCAGGAAGUAUA
rnacentral:lncRNA from 1 species